UAGUAAUUGAGACAAUGUCUUUGGCAAUAUGAUAGAGGGCGUUCUAGCUUUAUUUGAUAGUUUGGGGACUGUAGCUUUGUAUAUUGCUGAAAAAGCCAAAGAAGGGGAUGGCUUCAUAAAUUUGUAUAGGCGAAAAAUAAGAGGAUUUUUUUUCCAGAGGGUUUUUUUUCUAUGUUUAGAUCUUAGGUAUAACUAGAUAAUUUUGUUGUCUUUUCAUUUGGAGGAAAUAGUGAUUUUUGAGGGUUUUGUCUGCAGCCUUUAAAGUUUAAUAGUGGUUGCUUUCAAUUCAAUCACGAAUUGCUGAGAGGUUGAAUUUAGCACUGAAUGCAGAAGAGAGCACUGAGCAUAGAGCUAACAAACUGCACCGAGUAUUGAAGUCGAGAAAAAACUAAGGUUAAUUUCAAUUUGAAAAAAAUCUCUGCCACAUCUUGGUUCCUACAAUAAUUUUAGCUGCUGAAGUAGCUUUUAGCUGUCAAGGUUUCAAGCAAUUGAGUGUGUUUCAACGCACAGGCGCCACCUCCUAGUGAAUUCUGAAAGUGUGGAAGUAGAAAAGCUCAGCAAUCUGCGCUUCUGGAAUAUUUGGCCAACAAACACCCUCCAAAGCAGGGAGUCAAAUGCCGGAGACGAAAUAUGCUGCUGAUAUUUCCUCUAUAAGGGAAGCGCAAGCACACAUCGAGCCAUUCAUGCACAAAACUCCGGUCUUGACCUCGGAAUCCCUCAAUGCUCUUUCAGGAAGACGCCUUUUUUUAAAUGUGAAUGUUUACAAAAGGGUGGCGCUUUCAAAUUCAGAGGCGCUUGCAAUGCGGUGUUUUCACUUGAUGAUGAUCAGGCUGCCAAAGGGGUUGUAACACACAGCAGG